UAUGGUGGAUACCUAGGCACCUAGAGACGAGGAAGGGCGUAGUAAGCGACGAAAUGCUUCGGGGAGUUGAAAAUAAGCGUAGAUCUGGAGAUUCCCGAAUAGGUCAACUUUUCGAACUGCUCCUGAAUCCACGGGCAGGCAAGAGACAACCUGGCGAACUGUUUGUCUCUUUCUUGGAUCGAUUGGAAUGUAAAUGGAAUGAUGAAUCUAUUUCUUCGUCUCUUUGCCAAUAAAUCCGAAGAAUGGGGAGAAAUAUUAGGAUGUAGGAAAUAAAAAUGAUCCAUA